rnacentral:telomerase_RNA from 1 species
CGCUCAUCUGCACGUCGCCUCCCCUACAGUUUCCCGACUCUCGUUUUCCGCAAGGAAUGUCUAUCGCAGACCCCUCUUCCAAGGCUUGGUCGGCCGCAAUGUGCCGCGUCCGAGCCUGCUCCAGGACCUCGUUGAAUGCUGCAGCUGGAUCUAUUGCGGCCAGUCUCCGUCUGGCACCCGGAUGGCCAAGUCUAGCAGAGGGAACGAGUCUCGGAACUUAACCCUAAGCAUACAUCUGGUUCAGUUCUGCGCUGAGUCGUCCAAAAUCCUUUUUAAAUCAGCCGAUCGUGCUACUCGACGCUGCUGGUCCUGCUGAAAGGCGGGCACCGUGGUCAAGAUGAAGCCAAGUGUUGAUGGACUAGGAGGGAGGAUAUCCAGUCACCGAAUGGUGCGCGAGAGGAGAUUGCCAUGAGUUAUUGUAAGAGCCUCUGGUCCGAGGACGCUCGUCAGCUCUCUCCGCUGGAACCGGCACUCUGGCCGAAAAUAGGCUGUCCUUGAGAUGCUGUUGGCAUUGAUGGGCGGAAAAAGGGACGCCGUCUGUUGGGACCUGCAUCGGUGGCUUCAUCGCCAUGAUGCACGGUCCGUGGCAUGAGGCUUGAGCACAGAAUGGGCCUCAAACAGUCAGAAAUCGCGUUUCAUCAUGUCCGUAUGGCACCUUGCCGGAAGCCUGCCUCACAGCAGUGUCGCGAGGGCCAUCUGGGAACACACAGAAAUGCAACGGUUUCUGACGGGCCGCAACGCCACUCUGCAAUGCUCUCGGAUGCUUCCUAUAUGCCCCCUUGUUCAAACAGGGCGCCUGCCAACACGACUACCAACGUCUUGAUCUCCGCUUGUCAGCCCUUUGCUCCUUGGAUCACACCACAGCACCCAGCCCUUGGUGUGUGAUGAACUCGCAUCUAGCCUGGCCACGCGCAUUAACCUUCGGUCGUUGGCUCUGUCCCUCGAUAUCGUAAGGACGCCAGUUCCCUGCUGGAUUCUCCAGUGAUUGCCUCGGUGGAUCUUGUCGAGAGACUACCCGAGAUGACAACGCGUUUUUUGCGGAUGUGUUUUGUGCGCGUGUAAAGGCCCUCCUAACCCUACGAGUUCUGGAGAGGAAACAAAAACAAGUCCUAGUUGGCAGUGCGAACCAAACAGAAGGGGGCUUCUUGGGCCGCAUCUAGAAGACUUGGGCUGCGAUACGCUGCUCGGACUUUUGGACUCGAUGAUCUUGAAGAAAGCAGCGGGUCUAUUACAGGAUUGGCUUCGGACAUCGGCUCGUUAGGGACAUUGCAGGAACGACUUGAUGUCAAGUUGGCGUGGAACCGGGACCCAUCUCGAGUUGGAGUCAAAGUUCAGUACUUGUCCGGUUCCAUGUCCGGCUUGGUCUAUGAGUCAGAUCCGCGGACUGUCAUCCGUUGGUUCGUGUUUUUUCCCUCGUCGUACUUGAUACGGCUAUUGGACCAUAAGGACAAGCCAUGGAUUUGGAGGGCAGUCCUGGUUGUCCUUCUCCCAGAAAUGGCUGGAGGACAACCCCCCGGCGGCGAGG